AUUGAACGCUGGCGGCAAGCCUAACACAUGCAAGUCGAACGAGUGGCAGAAGGGUGAGUAAUGUCUGGGAAACUGCCUGCUGGAGGGGGAUAACUACUGGAAACGGUAGCUCAUACCCCAUACCAUCGGCUGUGCCCAGAGGGGAUUAGCUAGUAGGUGGGGUAAAGGCACACCAAGGCGACGAUGCCUAGCUGGUCUGAGAGGAUGACCAGCCACACUGGAGCUGAGAGCCGUGUCAGACUCCUACGGUGGGCAGCAGUGGGGAAUAUUGCACAAGGGGAGUGAGCCUGAUGCAGCCAGGCCGCGUGGAUGAAGAAGUCUUUCGGGUUGUAAAGUACUUUCAGCGGGGAGGCGUUGCCCGCAGAAGAAGCACCGGCUAAGUCCGUGCCAGCCGCCGCGGUAAUUC
rnacentral:rRNA from 1 species